CCCAUCGUGUAAACGGGGCCUCAGUCUCCCGCGACCCGCUCGAUCCCAACUCUGGUCUGGUAGUUAGUGUAGCUAGCUACACUGGAGAAACAUGCCACCCGGUAAGUGGGCUAAAUACGGGAAGAAAUAUACGAAAGAAUGGGAAAGUGAAAACGGAAUUAAAGAAUGGAUAGAACGUGUGGCUGGGGAUGAUACCAAAGCUUUUUGUCGGUACUGCAAAACCGAGAUUCGUGCGCACCACAGUGAUCUCCAAAACCACAGCAAAACGGGGAAACACAUUCGAAAUGCUGCUCCGUUCUCCAGUUGUCGAGCAGGGAGGAAGAGAGAAAAGGGAAGAGAAAGCCUCAAGACAAAGCAACAGACCUGGCAACCCUG